CCAGAUCUGUUGUCUGUGUUGUUCCCUUCCUGCCCCCAGAACUGUUCUCAGAGCCCCCACCAUGCGGUCUGCCCUCAGUUUGCUUUCCAUCCUGACCCUGCUCCAAGGUGUCCAGGGUGAUGUCCAGCUGGUGGAGUCUGGGGGAGACGUGAGACAGCCCGGCGGGUCUCUGCGCCUCUCCUGUAAAGCCUCCGGAUUGACCAGCAGCUACUACUACAUGCACUGGGUCCGCCAGGCUCCAGGGAAGGGGCUGGAGUGGGUCGCUAGGGUUUAUAAUGAUGGUAGUAGCACCGGCUAUGCGGACUCUGUGAAAGGCCGGUUCACCAUCUCCUGGGAUAAGUCCAACAGCCUCCUGAGUUUGCAAAUGAACAGCCUGAAAACCGAGGACAUGGCCCUCUAUUACUGUGCUACAGACACAGUGAAAGAAACCAUAUUCUGA